GACGAACCGUGCGAACGUUAUUCGGAAUCACUGGGCUUAAAGCGCGUGUAGGCGGAUGGGUGCGUCGGCAUCUGAAAGCCCCGGCUCAACCGGGGAAGUGGGGCCGAAACGACCCGUCUGGAGGGACGUAGGGGAGUCUGGAACUUCCGGUGGAGCGGUGAAAUGCGUAGAGAUCGGGAGGAACACCAGUGGCGAAGGCGGCUCACUGGCCCGAUACGUGACGCUGAGGCACGAAAGCGUGGGGAGCAACAGG
rnacentral:rRNA from 1 species